GAUGAACGCUGGCGGCGUGCCUAAUACAUGCAAGUCGAGCGAACGGACGAGAAGCUUGCUUCUCUGAUGUUAGCGGCGGACGGGUGAGUAACACGUGGAUAACCUACCUAUAAGACUGGGAUAACUUCGGGAAACCGGAGCUAAUACCGGAUAAUAUUUCGAACCGCAUGGUUCAAAAGUGAAAGACGGUCUUGCUGUCACUUAUAGAUGGAUCCGCGCUGCAUUAGCUAGUUGGUAAGGUAACGGCUUACCAAGGCAACGAUGCAUAGCCGACCUGAGAGGGUGAUCGGCCACACUGGAACUGAGACACGGUCCAGACUCCUACGGGAGGCAGCAGUAGGGAAUCUUCCGCAAUGGGCGAAAGCCUGACGGAGCAACGCCGCGUGAGUGAUGAAGGUCUUCGGAUCGUAAAACUCUGUUAUUAGGGAAGAACAUAUGUGUAAGUAACUGUGCACAUCUUGACGGUACCUAAUCAGAAAGCCACGGCUAACUACGUGCCAGCAGCCGCGGUAAUACGUAGGUGGCAAGCGUUAUCCGGAAUUAUUGGGCGUAAAGCGCGCGUAGGCGGUUUUUUAAGUCUGAUGUGAAAGCCCACGGCUCAACCGUGGAGGGUCAUUGGAAACUGGAAAACUUGAGUGCAGAAGAGGAAAGUGGAAUUCCAUGUGUAGCGGUGAAAUGCGCAGAGAUAUGGAGGAACACCAGUGGCGAAGGCGACUUUCUGGUCUGUAACUGACGCUGAUGUGCGAAAGCGUGGGGAUCAAACAGGAUUAGAUACCCUGGUAGUCCACGCCGUAAACGAUGAGUGCUAAGUGUUAGGGGGUUUCCGCCCCUUAGUGCUGCAGCUAACGCAUUAAGCACUCCGCCUGGGGAGUACGACCGCAAGGUUGAAACUCAAAGGAAUUGACGGGGACCCGCACAAGCGGUGGAGCAUGUGGUUUAAUUCGAAGCAACGCGAAGAACCUUACCAAAUCUUGACAUCCUUUGACAACUCUAGAGAUAGAGCCUUCCCCUUCGGGGGACAAAGUGACAGGUGGUGCAUGGUUGUCGUCAGCUCGUGUCGUGAGAUGUUGGGUUAAGUCCCGCAACGAGCGCAACCCUUAAGCUUAGUUGCCAUCAUUAAGUUGGGCACUCUAAGUUGACUGCCGGUGACAAACCGGAGGAAGGUGGGGAUGACGUCAAAUCAUCAUGCCCCUUAUGAUUUGGGCUACACACGUGCUACAAUGGACAAUACAAAGGGCAGCGAAACCGCGAGGUCAAGCAAAUCCCAUAAAGUUGUUCUCAGUUCGGAUUGUAGUCUGCAACUCGACUACAUGAAGCUGGAAUCGCUAGUAAUCGUAGAUCAGCAUGCUACGGUGAAUACGUUCCCGGGUCU
rnacentral:rRNA from 1 species